UAACUUCGUGCCAGCAGCCGCGGUAAUACGAAGGGUGCUAGCGUUGUUCGGAAUUACUGGGCGUAAAGGGCGCGUAGGCGGCUUUCCAAGUCAGGGGUGAAAUCCCGGGGCUCAACCCCGGAAUUGCCUUUGAAACUGGAAAGCUAGAGUGUCGGAGGGGAUAGCGGAAUUGCUAAUGUAGAGGUGAAAUUCGUAGAUAUUAGCAGGAACACCGGUGGCGAAGGCGGCUAUCUGGACGACAACUGACGCUGAGGCGCGAAAGCAUGGGGAUCAAACAGGAUUAGAUACCCUGGUAGUCCAUGCCAUAAACGAUGGGUGCUAGCUGUUGGGAGGUUACCUCUCAGUAGCGCAGCUAACGCGUUAAGCACCCCGCCUGGGGAGUACGGUCGCAAGAUUAAAACUCAAAGAAAUUGACGGGGACCCGCACAAGCGGUGGAACAUGUGGUUUAAUUCGAGGCAACGCGAAGAACCUUACCAGCUUUUGAC
rnacentral:rRNA from 1 species